rnacentral:tRNA from 1 species
UGUCCCUGUAGCGCAAUGGAUAGCACGUUGGACUUCUAAUCCAAGGGUUGUGGGUUCGAAUCCCAUCAGGAUAG